UGGGAUAUAGCUCAGUGGUAGAGCACUUAUCCAGCAUGUCUAAGGCCCUGGGUUCAAUCCCAGGUAUCCCAA
rnacentral:tRNA from 1 species